UUACAGAACUUGGCGGCUUGCCCUCUCCCCGCCGCCAGUGCUCCCGGCCCGGCCUCCCCGGAGCCGAGCCCAGCCGCAGCCGGGGCUUCUCCUCUCCCUUGCCGGCUUCUCCUCCUUAUUCUUGGGCCUUCUCAUUUCCUUUCCCCACUUCUUUCUUUCCCAAUUCUCUAUUUUCUUUUCAUUUUCUUUCUCUCAACUCCCGAAAAAUCAACUCAUUCUUCCACUGACUCAGGACAUAUGCCUGCAGGCUGGCUCUGUCCUUGGCGCCUUCCCAGAGGAGUAACCAGGCGGUGUAGGUGUGGCCUCGGGGCAGCCGGGCAGCGUGGGAGCCGGCUGGGACUCCUGGGCGUCUCUGAGUUGAGUGUGUCACAGCUUCUCAGACCCCGGCUCCGCGCCGGCCGGCAGCUCCAGGACGCUCUGAGGACAAAACAGCACAGACGCGUCGCUCCGCAUCUCUUGCUCCAGUCGCUGUGUUCCUUAGGAGAUGGGGACCCGCAGAUGCAGGGGCCGACUGCAGUUGAAACCGCGCAGCACGGAGCCUCUUCCGAGGGCUCCUUUCACUUAGUUAUGUACAUUCACGUCUCCCCCGUGUCUUCUCAUGCCUGGAGAGCUCCUUUCUUCACAGUGCUGAACAGCUUCUGCUGUCCGGAUGUAGCACAGUUUGUCUAGCCAUUCGCCUGCUGAAGGACACCUUGGUUGCUUCCA